UAGGGAAUCUUCGGCAAUGGACGGAAGUCUGACCGAGCAACGCCGCGUGAGUGAAGAAGGUUUUCGGAUCGUAAAGCUCUGUUGUAAGAGAAGAACGAGUGUGAGAGUGGAAAGUUCACACUGUGACGGUAUCUUACCAGAAAGGGACGGCUAACUACGUGCCAGCAGCCGCGGUAAUACGUAGGUCCCGAGCGUUGUCCGGAUUUAUUGGGCGUAAAGCGAGCGCAGGCGGUUAGAUAAGUCUGAAGUUAAAGGCUGUGGCUUAACCAUAGUAGGCUUUGGAAACUGUUUAACUUGAGUGCAAGAGGGGAGAGUGGAAUUCCAUGUGUAGCGGUGAAAUGCGUAGAUAUAUGGAGGAACACCGGUGGCGAAAGCGGCUCUCUGGCUUGUAACUGACGCUGAGGCUCGAAAGCGUGGGGAGCAAACAGGAUUAGAUACCCUGGUAGUCCACGCUGUAAACGAUGAGUGCUAGGUGUUAGACCCUUUCCGGGGUUUAGUGCCGUAGCUAACGCAUUAAGCACUCCGCCUGGGGAGUACGACCGCNGNNUG
rnacentral:rRNA from 1 species